rnacentral:rRNA from 1 species
AACGAACGCUGGCGGCAUGCCUAACACAUGCAAGUCGAACGAGACCUUCGGGUCUAGUGGCGCACGGGUGCGUAACGCGUGGGAACCUGCCCUUAGGUUCGGAAUAACUCCCCGAAAGGGGUGCUAAUACCGGACAAUGUCUUCGGACCAAAGAUUUAUCGCCUUUGGAUGGGCCCGCGUUGGAUUAGCUAGUUGGUAGGGUAAAAGCCUACCAAGGCGACGAUCCAUAGCUGGUCUGAGAGGAUGAUCAGCCACACUGGGACUGAGACACGGCCCAGACUCCUACGGGAGGCAGCAGUGGGGAAUAUUGGACAAUGGGCGAAAGCCUGAUCCAGCAAUGCCGCGUGAGUGAUGAAGGCCUUAGGGUUGUAAAGCUCUUUUACCCGGGAUUAUAAUGACAGUACCGGGAGAAUAAGCUCCGGCUAACUCCGUG